rnacentral:lncRNA from 1 species
CUGCCCUCUUAGAUUGGGAAAGGGGACUCUGGGGGGAGAGAAACUGCCUCCUAAUUUCUUUCAUCAUGUGUUCAGAAUUCAGGUAGAGACUCACCCAGGAGACUGAGGAGGGAGAGAAUGUGCAGUCACAGAAGUGCAGGAGAAGCUGGAACCCCUGCCUCUGAGAGGCUGGUUGCUCCUGGAGGAAUCCUGUUUUGAUAAGAGAGGGAAAGAGGAAAGACCAAAGCACAUUCUUCUCGGGGCAUGAAGGCAGUUACCCAGCAACUGAUGCAUAGAGAAAAGUAUAUAAGCAAGAAGUAAAAUUCUGGUUUCUUUAUCUCUCAAAUAAAUAAAUAAAUUUAAGUGAACUAAUAAGUGCACAUCAGUAUAAGAGAAAAAUAAGUAACUUCAGAGUUUUUUCCAUAUAUGAAAACCAUCUGAAUAAAAAAAUAAAUAUUUUUAAAAAUAUAAAUAAUAAAAUGUAAAUAAAGU